rnacentral:lncRNA from 1 species
GUCUUUUCACCUCCGAAUAAAUAUGCUCUUAUCUGGCAGUUAGCUAUCUGGAGGAUAAAUAUUUAUUCGCCAGAUAAAAUGUACCCGUCUUUUCACGUCAAUUUAUGUUCCAGUUAGUUAUCCGGUAGAUAAGCUUAAAACUUUAACUUAACCUAACAUAAUUAGAUUCACAUAAUCAAGACCAAGAUGAUUUUCUCGAUUUUAUUUCCAUUUUGGAAGAAGGAAAU